rnacentral:rRNA from 1 species
GAUGAACGCUGGCGGCGUGCUUAACACAUGCAAGUCGAACGGAAAGGCCCAAGCUUGCUUGGGUACUCGAGUGGCGAACGGGUGAGUAACACGAGGGUGAUCUGACCUGCACUUCGGGAUAAGCAUGGGAAACUGGGACUAAUACCGGAUAGGAGCACACUUUGGAUGGUGUGGUGGAAAGAUUUGCGGUGUGGGUUGAGCUCGCGGACUAUCGGCUUGUUGGUGGGGUAAGGGCCUGCAAAGGCGUCGAAGGGUAGCCGGCCGGAGCGGGUGUACGGCCACACUGGGACUGAGCUUCGGCCCGGCCGCCUACGGGAGGCAUCGGUGGGGAAUGUUGCCCUAUGGCCGCCAGCCUGAUUCAGCGACGCCGCGUGGGUGGUGACGGCCUUCGGGUUGUAAACGCCUUUCGCUAGGGACGAAGCGUUAUGUGACGGUACCUGGAGAAGAAGCACCGGCUAACUACGUG